rnacentral:rRNA from 1 species
GGUGGGAUACUACCCUAGCUGUGUUGGCUUUCUAACCCGCACCACUUAUCGUGGUGGGAGACAGUGUCAGGCGGGCAGUUUGACUGGGGCGGUCGCCUCCUAAAAGGGAACGGAGGCGCUCAAAGGUUCCCUCAGAAUGGUUGGAAAUCAUUCAUAGAGUGUAAAGGCAUAAGGGAGCUUGACUGCGAGACCUACAAGUCGAGCAGGGUCGAAAGACGGACUUAGUGAUCCGGUGGUUCCGCAUGGAAGGGCCAUCGCUCAACGGAUAAAAGCUACCCCGGGGAUAACAGGCUUAUCUCCCCC